AGCUUGCUGCAUAAAUUAGUGGCAAACGGGUGAGUAACACGUGGGAAUCUACCUGGUAGUACGGAAUAACAAUUAGAAAUGAUUGCUAAUACCGUAUGGUCUCUUCGGAGUAAAGAUUUAUCGCUACCAGAUGAGCCCGCGCUAGAUUAGGUAGUUGGUAGGGUAAUGGCCUACCAAGCCAAUGAUCUAUAGCUGAUUUGAGAGGAUGAUCAGCCACACUGGGACUGAGACACGGCCCAGACUCCUACGGGAGGCAGCAGUGGGGAAUAUUGGACAAUGGGCGAAAGCCUGAUCCAGCAAUACCGCGUGAGUGA
rnacentral:rRNA from 1 species